rnacentral:misc_RNA from 1 species
UUUCCGUAGGUGAACCUGCGGAAGGAUUAUUAACGAGUUAGGGUCUUCUAGGCCCGACCUCCCAACCCUAUGUUUAUUGAACCUCUGUUGCUUCGGCGGACCCGCCUCACGGCCGCCGGAGGACCGCUGCAAGGCGUCCUCUGGCCAGCGUCCGCCGAUGGCCAACCACUUAAACUCUGAAUGAAUCGUGUCAUAUGUCUAAGUCUAUGAUUAAAUUAAAGCAAAACUUUCAACAACGGAUCUCUUGGUUCUG